rnacentral:lncRNA from 1 species
GCCACCUGGAGUCUGAGGAGCUUAGGUGCGGCGUCUGCGCAGAAGGUGCUGGACCAGGUCCUAGGUGGAUCGAUCCCUGCUGGUCCGCAAUGUGGGGUGCUGCAGGGUUUUCUGGCGUGGCCCCCAGAAACUAUCACCAGCGCCUUCAGCCUCGGUGCACAGGCUUAAAAAACAUGGCUGUCUGUGCACCAUGCGGCAUGCGGUGCCAUCAGAAGAAAGGUGCUGCGUCCCCUGGAAUUGGAGUUAAGAAACAGUUGUGUGUUGCCAUAUGGGUGCUGAGAAUUCAACCCAGGUCCUCUGGAAGAGCAACCAGUGUUCUUGACUGCUGAGCUAUCUCUCUAGUCUCAGGAUGGACUUUUCAUUUGUGGUAUUGAAGACUGAACAUAAAACCUGGUGAUUACCAAGCAAAUUCUCUACCACCAAGUUCCACCCUGAGUCCAAGCAUGCGUUUCCCCACUGGAAAGUAGGGACAAUACAAAUCACUUGACAAGGU